ensembl:lncRNA SOX2-OT SOX2 overlapping transcript
GUCGUAAAAGGGGACGCGGAGGAGAAGGAAAGUCGCUCAAGCAGUGGACAGAGCGGAGAAAGCGACUUCGGGUUGGUUGAAGGCCGCAGAGAGAAGAAGCUGCCCAAGAAUGGAAAGGAAGAAAUAUAUCACAUCAUCUGUCUGUCCACAGGCUUUCCUUGGGGCUUAUGAAGUGAAUGAAGGAGGGAAGAAAGGAGAGACAGAGAAAAUAUGGGAAGUAUGCAGCUGGCAUCAGAAGCUGGAAGAUAGGAUCUUCCCGGAUCACAGCUCCUGUUCAGAAAGUCUGAGGAUGUCAGACUGAGACUGUUGAGUCUGAGGAUGUCAGACUGAGAUUGUUGAGUCUCAGGAUGUUGCAGGACAGGAUGGAUGAAGAAUGCUAGUCCUGGCAGUUGGGGCCUAAGGCCAGGGCCCUUUUUUAUCACUUUCUUGUGUUGCCUCUCUGCCCAAGAAAAAAUCUGUCUCUUGCAUACAGCUCCUCUAAUACGUGUCCAUUAGAAGGAAGGAGUUUCUUUAAUGAGCUCUAUGGUUUUAUCUUGCUCAUAACAGCUUAGUUUAAUGCCACUGAAACUGUAACAUUUUUUUGUGCCUAAUAUCAACUGACAAAUAUAAAGUUAUUCCUAAUUUAUUAAUUCAAAUGAUAUAUUGCAAAAUAAAAUCUGCUUAAUAUGAAAAGAAGUAA